AUGGGGACCUGUGAAUAUUUUGCCUUCCAUGACAAUGGGAACUUUGCACAAGUGAUUAAAUUUAAGGACCUUGAGAUGGGAAAGAGUUGCCUGGAUUUUCUAGGUGUGCCCAACUUAAUCACUUGUAUUCUUAACAACAGAGACCCUUUCCAGCUUAUGACUAUGAAGAGAGCUGUGACAAUGGAAGACAAGUCAGAGAGAUGCAUUAUUGCUGGCUGUGAAGAUAAUGAGAGACGUGCCUUCCCUCUUUCCAGCAGCCAGCUCGGCCUGUGUUCCUCUGCUGCUUAAGUAUCCCAUGACUCAUACCAAGCCCUUGGUUCAUCCCUCACCUUUCAGAGUGACUGUCUAAAGUUCAUAUCCAGUCCUUGUUACUUUCAUGUUUAAUGGACUUCUGUGGAUUCCUUUAGGCCGUAGAAUAAAGUCUAAGCUGUUUAGAAUGGCAUCUAAAGCUUUCAAAAUUUUUAUCCACUGCUUUAUUUUUUUCCAAUUUCAUCUCUCCCAUAACUGACUCCAAACAGGCUGGGCUCUAGCCAUAAUCUAAACUUCCUGCCAGUUCCCAAAUCACAGAAGUUCUUUUUAUCCUCUGUGUUUUGCAUGAAUUUUUCUUGUACUAGUUCUUUCCCCCUUCGACUUGGAAAUCACCAACUUAUUUUUCAAGAAAAACUUGAUUCAUUUGUGAAUUCAUUCACUUAUUGAGUAAUCAUUAUGCUAGAUAUUACACUAGUAUACCCAUUUCAGGACUAGUCUGGUGCAAACUGAAAACAUGGAACACUUGUUAAAAAAAAAAUGGUGUGAAUGUCAAGACAGCAACAGCAGCACAUUAAACCAAGAUUAAGUCUCUUCUAAGUCUAAGGCCAUGUGCACCUGCAUAGGUCACACUCUCAUGAAACCAGCUUUGAUCUACCCUCUCUCAUCUGGAUUAGGUUGGUUCACAAUACAUUCCAUGAGAGACAGCAAAACCCCUCAACUUUUACUGUCUUUAAAGAAAAAUAAUUACACAUGAAUGUGAAGAGUACUGGUAAAGACAGGUCUUCAUUUGGGGUGGCCUUACCAAGUCUGCUUUUCAGUUCUUCCCUCAUUUUCUUGGUUUUUCAUCAUUGCUAAGAUGCCAGACAUCUAACAGACAUCCCAAAGAAUGUGACAGAAAAGGAACCGUAUCAUCUUCUACUUUGGUAUCAAGGAAAAAAUGUAUAUCUAAUCCCUGACCCUGCAUCUAAUGUUUUAUGUAUGUCAUAUUUAUCAUUACGCACAGAGGAAAAAUAAAUACCACUGAAGAGGUUGCGUAUUUGUUCAUUAAUCAGUCAGAUUUUGUGACUGGACUGUGUCUCCAGUGGUGAGCAAGCUGAAAGGGGUUUUGCUCUUUCCUCCAUUUACUGGCAGAAACUAGGUGAGAUUUAAUGAUCAUCUAAAGAACAGAGCUUCUGGACAUCAGAAUGACCCUGUUCAUUAAAAUAUA
rnacentral:lncRNA from 1 species